UGUGGGAAGAGAAGCAAAGCUACGGAUCCUGGGCAGGCACUGCCUUCCAAGGGGUUCAAACAGUCUUCAGCAUGGAGCCAAAGUACAUCAUAUACAAGGAUCAGUGUUCAAGAUGGGAUGGCUCCCCUUUACUGUAUCUGGCAAAGCCCCAUCUGGUGAAAGACCGUGUCUCUUCCUCAGACUCCACUUGCACCUCAGCAGCAGGCUGUUGUCAAAAUAACACCGGAGACUAUACUGAUGGGCUUCCUUCAAAUACGCGAUCGGAUCAGAAACUCCUGUGGGCUCACCAGAUGUCAGGAGCGAUGGGACACCAGAGGCGGAAGAACCUAUGUCCCCAGGCUACAGCAAAGCUCCCAGCCCUAUGAAAAUCAUCUAGCCUGCUCUGAGCCACAUGCCUAGAGGUCACAGAGGCAUGCGGGAAAGUGAGAGGAAGUGGAAACGUGCUACAAAAAGGGCUCAAAGCAAUGUGCUCACCACCGGAAAAAAAAAUAAAAAUAA
rnacentral:lncRNA from 1 species